AUCAGCUGUCCAUCUCAAGGUGCCACUAAGGUCGGGUGGGAAGGCGGAAGUCAUCACAUCCGAUCAUCUGAAGGCGCGGGUACUGGCCCAAGGCUGGGAACAGAGCAGGCAAUACCGCACGAUGGGACCAGUGAGGGUGGAGAGCGGCUGA
rnacentral:SRP_RNA from 1 species